CACAAUAAUCUACGUGUAACAUAUGACGAGCUAAGGCAAUAAGGUAGCGGUCACCGACAAUAUACUCGUAAAAUACAUUAUCAUUCUAGUCUGAUCUACUAGCGUUUCACUUUUCCCUCACCAAUCACUCUUACGAAUUAAAGGGAUUCUUACAAAAGCUAGAGUCUGGCUAAUGAAAGAUAAUUGAAUUAUUUGAAAACUUUCGGAUUGUUUAAAUAUGAGUAAAACUAUUAUUAAACUACUAUUAAAACUAAAAGUGGAGUUCGAGAGAGUUCUGCAUGAUAUGAAAAUUCCAAGAAAAAGAAGCUGAAUUCUACCAAAAACAAGAUUUUUUACGUGUGGUGUUGAAUUUCUUAGGAAAUCUGGAGGAUAUAGGAGUCGAUGCAAUAGUGAGAACUAUUGGUGUAAGUGUAAUAUCAAUACAAUAUAAUAUAAAAAAAGAAGAAGCAACAAGGUGUCUGGAGUACACCUGGAAAAAAACAACCUCAUAAACCAAUAGUGUCUCAUUUGGACAAUUUUGACAUGUAUGUAUGACAUGUAUAUUUGCAACAAAAUUUAUGAAUUUUAUAUUGUUACAAAACAAGUUCCAACAUUAAUAACACGUUUGCUGGUAUUAUGAGAAAGCAUUGGAUUUACUGGAUGUCAGGAAAUUCUUUCCUGUAUUGUUGGCUAUGAAUGGCUAUGAAUUUAAGAAAAAAUGAAUGUUCUUUGUUAAUUGAGCACAAUGACAUAUCCGCCUGGAGACAUUACUAAUUAAGAUCUAUAUCGUUGAAACAUGUUGAAAGAAAGCCAUUAAUUUAUUUAGAUGAAACUUAUGUCCAUAAUAACUACAAGCCCAAAAAAUCUUGGCAAGGUCCGUCUACAAAUGGUGCUAAUGAAAAUAUUUCAUCUGGAAAAAAAUACAUAAUUGUACAAGCAGGGUCGGAGAAAGGUCCUAUGCCGAACUCACAAUUAGUAUUUAGCACUAAAUCAAAAAUGGCUGAUUAUCACCAAGAUAUGAAUGCUGCUAACUUCAAUAAGUGGUUAGAAGAAAAGCCUACCUAGCCUACCCUAUGUAAAUGAGCCCAGUAUUAUUGUUAUGGACAAUGCCAGUUACCAUUUCGUUAUAGUAAAUAAAGUCCCUACAACACAGAAUGGCAAACAUGAGAUAAGAGAAUGGCUUACUUUGAAUAAUAUUCAAUUUGUAGAGUUCCAUUCAAUAGCAGAACUGCUAUGUCUAGUAAAAUGGUAUAAAUCAGAGCCAAUAUAUGACGCCAAUGAAAUUUUAAAGCACAAUGGUCAUGCGGUAUCGAGACUACCUCCAUACCAUUGUGCUCUAAAUGCCAUUGAGCUGGUAUGGAGUCUGGCAGAAUGCAGAUUAGCAAAUAAAAAUAUUAAAUUGACUACAGAGCAAGCAAAAUGUAACAGCAGAAGAGUGGAAGAAAAUUACUAAUCAUGUUGUACAUGUGGAAAAUAAAUGUAAAGAUAGGGACAGGACUACAGAGGAACAUUUAGAAAGUUUCAUUAUCAAUGUAAGAGACAGUGAUAACGGCAAUGAGUCUGAUGAAUCUAUGCAUAUUGAUUUUUGGAUUCUAAUUUUGAUUAUUCAGAAUAAAGUUGUGUUUUA